rnacentral:rRNA from 1 species
CGGGGAAUAUUGCACAACGGAGGGAACUCUGAUGCAGCGACGCCGCGUGAGUGAUGAAGGAUUUCGUUUCGUAAAACUCUGCUCUAUGGGAAGAAAAGGACUGUACCAUAGGAGAAAGCUCCGGCUAAAUACGUGCCAGCAGCCGCGGUAAUACGUAUGGAGCGAGCGUUGUCCGGAAUUAUUGGGCGUAAAGGGUGCGCAGGCGGCUUUACAAGUUGGAUGUGAAAUAUUGUGGCUCAACCACAAACGUGCAUCCAAAACUGCAAAGCUUGAGUUAAGAAGAGGUAGGUGGAAUUCCUGGUGUAGCGGUGGAAUGCGUAGAUAUCAGGAGGAAUACCGGUGGAGAAGGCGACUUACUAGACUAAAACUGACGCUCAGGCACGAACGCGUGAGGGGCAAGCAGG